rnacentral:rRNA from 1 species
GUGGGGAAUUUUGGACAAUGGGCGCAAGCCUGAUCCAGCAAUGCCGCGUGCAGGAAGAAGGCCUUCGGGUUGUAAACUGCUUUUGUACGGAACGAAACGGUCCUGGCUAAUACCCGGGGCUAAUGACGGUACCGUAAGAAUAAGCACCGGCUAACUACGUGCCAGCAGCCGCGGUAAUACGUAGGGUGCGAGCGUUAAUCGGAAUUACUGGGCGUAACGCGUGCGCAGGCGGUUUUGUAAGACAGACGUGAAAUCCCCGGGCUCAACCUGGGAAUGGCGUUUGUGACUGCAAAGCUGGAGUGCGACAGAGGGGGAUGGAAUUCCGCGUGUAGCAGUGAAAUGCGUAGAUAUGCGGAGGAACACCGAUGGCGAAGGCAAUCCCCUGGGCCUGCACUGACGCUCAUGCACGAAAGCGUGGGGAGCAAACAGGAUUAGAAACCCUGGUAGUAC